GGCCGCUCACUGCCGCGACGGGGUCGACACCAUGCUACUGCGUGGGAACGAACGCCGCGACGGCAUCUCACGCGCGUGAGACGUGAGGAAGAAGGAAGAAACAAUGAUGAAACACACGAGAAAAGGGGCAACAAAUCAAAACAAUGUUCACAAUCAAAAGUAACGAGCACAAGUUUGGCAGGGAAAAAGGAACGUGGAGUGAUUUGGAUAAUUAGGAGGAUAAUUAGGAGGAUUGUGAGGAUUGAAGGUGGAAGAUUUGUGGUUCGGGAUAAACAGAAGGUAGACGGACACAAAUUCGUAAGUUUAAAUUAAAUUUGAAACAAAAAACAGUGAAAUAAAUAACACAAAAAACAUGCAAACACGACACAGGAACCACACGCGGGUUGAUCCGGGUGGCGAUCCACGGAGGGAAGACGAGACGGUUCAGGACGGACAGGAUAGAACCGCUUUUGUGUACGAGUAAGUUUUACCUGUUAAACAUGAAAAACACAACAGAAACAUGCAAAACUUGUACAACAUGAAGAGAAACAAAACGCGGUGCUAACCUAACCUAAAAUUACAGCUACAACACAAACGUAGAACACAAAUCCGGAUCGGGUUGGACGGAAAACAGGAAACAAACAAAUUCUUUGAUCUGCCUCAAAUAAAUUGGGCUGAUUCGCAAGGAGGUUUAUUUCCGUUGGCGUCCGAACAUCAUCAAAGAAUUUGUUUCCGGCGUGGAACAGUUCAGGAUGGCCCCCAAACCCAAGCCGGAUGUUCCUGCCGACUGCGUAGUCUGCGGCAAAGCGAAGGGUGACGACGCUGAGACGGUGGAGUGCGAAGCUUGCCGGCUUUGGGCACAUUUGGCGUGCGCUGGAGAAACGGGAAAAGUUGAGAACUACUUUUGCCCGAACUGUUCUCAGUCGCUGCAAGUGCCAAAGACCCGGAAGAACGCCAAGAAGCCGAAGAGCGAUGCGGGCACUACUUCCGGCGCUGCUGACCUGCCAAAGGACGUGCUGGAACAGUUGGAGUUGGAACGAGUUGAGCGGGAGAAGAAGAUGGCCCAGGAGGUGAUGAUCCGUAUGAAGCGGAUCGAGAUGGAGAAGAGUUUUGCCGAGCAGGAGCUCCGGAUCGAGAGAGAGAUGCAGGAGAGGGAGUUUGCGGCGGCGAACGAGGUGCGCGCGCUGAAGCUCAAGAUGGAGCAGGAGUUUUUGGAUAGGCAGAAGGCUGCGGAGGAAGAGUUCCUCGCGAAGCAGAAGGAGAUGAAGAAGCUCAUCAAGAAGAGCAAGCAGAAGCUUGAGAAGGCCGCGGUGGAUCCACCGGCUGGCAAGGGCGAGGGAGCGGGCGCGGGCUCGACGGACACUCCGAAGGGGGUUCUAGGAAAGCCGAAGUUACCCGUCCCCAAACUCAGCGAUUCCGAUCCCGACAGCAGUGGUGAUGAGAGCGACGAGAAGGAGGACCCGACGACACCGGUUUCCGGAUCGCGCGAGGUCUCUAACGGGCCGGGGAAACCGGUCACGAAGUUGACGAAGGAGCAGUUGGCGGCUAGACAAGCCAUGUCGCGACAUCUGCCGAAGUUCUCCGGGGAGCCGGAGGUGUGGCCUCUCUUCAUAAGCAGCUUCAAGUACACCACUGAAGCCUGCGGAUUCACGAACGUAGACAACUUGAAGAGGUUGGUGGACUGUCUCGAAGGGCCAGCGCUGACGUUGGUGCAAGGUCGGCUCGUGCUGCCGGACGCGGUACCGGAUGUCAUCGAAGACUUGCGACACAUGUUUGGCCGGCCGGAGAAGCUGCUUCGGGCGCUUUUGCAGAAGGUCCGGAACGCGCCAGCUCCCACGAGCGAAAAUCUCGACACGUUCAUCCAUUUCGGGAUCACCAUCAAGCAACUGUGUGAUCACCUGGAAGUGUCGGGCAUGAAGGACCAUCUGAACAACCCGAUGCUGGUCCAGGAGCUGGUUGAAAGGUUGCCGACAAGUCAUCAGCUCGACUGGGUGCGCUACAGGCGGGGAAAGGUCAACACUCCGCUGAGAAUGCUGUCCGACUUCUUGUCGGAACUGGUCGAGGACGUGUCGGAGGUGGCCGAGUUUGCGGCGCUCUCGCUUCAGGAGCCGACGAAAGUACAUGGCGGGAAGGGCAAGCGGAACGAGUUCGUGCACCUGCACGAAGCGACGAGAGAGAAAGCGGCGGGUGGCAGAACGAGCAUGGCUUGCUACGUUUGUAAACAAACCAACCACUUGAUACGGAACUGUAGCGAGUUCAGAGGAAUGCGGGUGCCUGAGCGCAUGAAGACCGUGGAGCGCUUGAAGCUGUGCACGGUGUGCUUGAGCAGCCAUGGCAACAGCGCGUGCCAUUCGAAGAUGCGCUGCCAGAUCGGAAAUUGUCGAGGACAACAUCAUCCGCUACUUCACCGCGAGGAAGCUGCGAGGCAGUUCCAACGGGUUGACUGCAACACGCACAAGGUCGACGGCGGGGUGAUCUUCCGGACAAUUCCGAUCACCAUGUACGCGGGGAGCAAGGCGUUCAACACUCUGGCGUUUUUGGACGAAGGAUCGUCGAGUACACUCAUGGAGGAGUACGUGGCCAACAAGCUGGGAGUGCAAGGAAAGCUGGAGCCGCUGGUCGUGUCCUGGACAGCCGAGAUCGAUCGGCACGAGAACCAAUCUCGUCGCGUGAGCCUGACGCUUGCGGCCAGAGGUUCGAGAGAGAUGUUCCAGUUGGAGAACGUACGGACGGUUUCGAAGCUGCAGUUGCCGCAGCAAGAUGUGAGGUUUAAGGAGGUGCAGAAGCGGUACGGUCAUCUGGCGGGCGUACAGGUUGCAGAGCAGGCCAAGGAGAAACCGACCAUCUUGAUCGGUCUUGACAACAUCCAUCUCUUCGCGCCGCUGGAAUCAAGAAUCGGUCAACAAGGCGAACCGAUUGCAGUCCGUUCGAAGCUCGGCUGGACCGUGUACGGACCUGAUACACCCAAGCCCUUGGUGCAUACGUUCCUGAAUCUGCAUGUCGUCAAGCCGGCCAGCAACCAAGAACUCCACGACAUGAUGAGGGACCAGUACGUUCUGGACGAAGCUGGUGUUGCGUCGUUUUCGGUGCCGGAGUCUGCCGAAGAGCAACGAGCGAAGAAGAUCUUGGAGACGACGACGAAGCGCACCGGAGAGCGGUUCGAAACCGGUCUGCUAUGGCGCGAGGACGAGCGACGAUUCCCGGACAGCUACCCGAUGGCAACGCGGCGGCUGCAGGCGUUGGAGAGGAAGCUGGACAAGAACCCGACGUUGAAGCAAAACGUCUCUCAACAGAUCGCGGAGUACCAGAGCAAGGGGUACGCGCACAAAGCAACGGCCGAGGAGCUGAAGACGCCCAGCAACGCCGUUUGGUAUCUGCCACUGAACGUCGUCCUGAACCCUCGGAAGCCGGACAAGACAAGACUGGUUUGGGACGCGGCGGCGUCGGUGCGGGGUGUCUCGCUGAACUCACAGCUGCUCAAGGGACCGGACAUGUUGGUGCCGCUGCCACGAGUUGUGUGUCGUUUCCGGGAGAGACCGAUCGCGCUGGGUGGGGACAUCCAAGAAAUGUACCAUCAGAUCAGGAUCAGAGAGGAGGACAAGCAAGCUCAACGCUUCCUGUUCCGCGAGAACCCUGCCGACGCUCCGCAGGUGUACGUCAUGGACGUUGCAACUUUCGGGUCGGCUUGCUCCCCAAGUUCGGCUCAGUUCGUGAAGAACCUGAACGCGGACCAGUAUGCGGAGGAGUUCCCGGAGGCAGCUGCGGCGAUUAAGGAGCGACACUACGUGGACGAUUACUACGACUCGGUGGACACGGUCGAGGAAGCGAUUCGGCGGGCCAACGAGGUGAAGUUCAUCCACUCGAAAGGAGGUUUCAACAUCCGGAACUGGGUGUCGAACUCGAAGAAGGUGCUGGACGCGAUGGGAGAACGAAGCGUGAAGACAUCCGUGCACUUCAACCAGGAAAAGUCGGCUUUCUACGAGCGUGUACUCGGCAUAGUCUGGGAACCGGAUCAGGACGUGUUCUGUUUCGCGGUGGCCUCGAAGCCGGAGUUCCGCGACGUUCUGGCGGGAGAGCGACGUCCGACCAAGCGGAUCGUGCUGAGUGUGGUCAUGGCGCAAUUCGAUCCAGCGGGAUUCCUCGGACCGAUCACCAUUCUCGGGAAGAUCCUGGUGCAAGAUCUGUGGCGCACGGGGUGCGAGUGGGACGAAAUGAUCGACGAGCUGGCUUUCCAGAGGUGGCUGCGUUGGAUCAACAUUUUGGCGGACGCGAAGCACUUCAAACUACCAAGGUGCUACUUCGGGAACGCGCGGUGGGACGAGAUUGAGGAGAUUCAGCUGCACAUCUUCGCGGAUGCGGGCGACAAGGCAUACGGAUGCGUGGCGUAUUUCCGGGCGAUUGUCCGGGGCGAAGUGGUGGUGGCGCUGGUGAUGAGUCGGUCCAAGGUGGCGCCGCUGAAAAUGCUGUCCAUCCCGCGUCUGGAGCUGGAGUCGUGUGUACUUGCGGCGCGCAUGUCCCAGGCGAUUCACGACAACCACAGUUUCCCGAUCAGCAAGACCUUUUUCUGGACUGAUUCGGCGGUCGUCCUGUCGUGGAUCCGCUCCGAUCAGCGUCGCUACAAACAGUUCGUCGGGUUUCGGAUCGGUGCCAUUUUGAGCAUGACGUCGCUGAUGGAUUGGAACUUCGUACCAACGCAACACAACAUCGCCGACAUCCUGACGAAGUGGGGUAAGGAUCCGAACGUCCGGCCUGACAGUCCGUGGGUCUGCUGCCCGAGGUUCAUCCACGACCAGCAAGUAAACUGGCCGAAGAAAAGCUUGCCCCCACCGAACACCACGGAGGAACUUCGCGUGCAUCUUCUUCUACACGACGUGAAGGUGGUGGACACCAUCGUGGAGGUGAACCACUUCUCAAGGUGGACGAUGUUGGUGAGGACCAUGGCGUGCGCUCACCGUUUCGUGUCGAACCUCAAGCGGAAAACGAAAGGGCUGCCGAUGGAGACGCUGCGUGCGACGAAGGCGCAGGCGAAGAUGCUGAGACCGACGACGGUACCGUCGGUUCGAGUUGCGUUGCAGCAAGACGAGUACAAGCAGGCGGAGGUGUACCUGCUGAAGAUGGUGCAGGCGGAGAGCUUCAUCGACGAGGUGAAAGUGCUGACCAGGAACAAGGAUCGUCCGGCGGAUCAGUGGCUCGCCCUCGAAAAGUCAAGUCCGCUGUACAAGCUGACUCCACUGGUCGACGAAGACGGCCUGCUGCGGAUGGAAGGGAGAACCGAGAACGCGGAGUUUCUGCCUUUCGAUCUGAGAUUCCCAGUGAUUCUACCGAAGGAUCACCACGUCACCCGGAUGAUUGUCCAGCACUACCAUCAGAAGUUCGGGCACGGAUACCGCGAGACGAUCAAGAACGAACUGCGCCAGCGAUUCUUCAUUCUGGGGGUCAACAAUCUAGUUCGACAAGUGGCGGCGGCGUGCGUCUGGUGCAAGGUGCACCGCAAUCAGCCGUUGGUGCCAAGGAUGGCGGCGCUUCCUGUGCAACGCAUCACACCGAAUCUUCGCCCGUUCAGCUACGUCGGGGUUGAUUACCUGGGUCCGCUCGACGUGUCAGUUGGACGCCGGUCCGAGAAGCGCUGGGUAGCGCUGUUCACAUGCUUCGUUACGCGCGCGGUGCAUCUGGAGGUGGCGUAUGGGCUGACGGCACAAACGUGUCUGAUGGCGAUUCGUCGUUUCAUCUGUCGUCGAGGCCCUCCGGUCGAAUUCUUCUCCGACAACGGAACGAACUUUCGGGGCGCGAGCAAGGAGCUGGUGGAGACGGUGCGGAGCAUCGGGAACGACUGCGCCGAGGUGCUGACAACGUCGCGAACGAAGUGGACCUUCAACCCACCCGCUGCACCCCACAUGGGGGGUGUCUGGGAGCGUCUGGUCCGCUCUGUGAAGGAGGCGCUGGAGGCGUUGGACGACGGGCGGCGGCUGACGGACGAGAUUCUGGUGACCUGUCUGGCGGAGGCGGAGGACAUGAUAAACUCACGUCCGCUCACGUACGUGGCUCAAGAAUCGUCGCAGGCGGAGGCCCUCACACCAAAUCACUUCAUCCGAGGAGUUUCACCGAACGAACCCAACACGGUCCCGCCAUCCCCUCACCCUGCAGAAGCUCUACGUGACGCCUACAAGCGGUCGCAACAGUUGGCAGAUGUGAUGUGGCAGCGCUGGAUCAAGGAGUACGUGCCGUCGGUGAAUCAACGCACGAAGUGGUUCGGUGAGUCGAGGCCGCUGAAGGCGGGCGACCUGGUCUACAUCGUCGACGGGAAGAACAGGAAGUCCUGGAUCCGCGGAGUGGUCGAAGAGCCGAUCGUGUCCGGCGACGGGAGGAUUCGCCAAGCAUGGGUGCGAACCAGCAGCGGGCUGGUGAAGCGCGCGACAGCGAGGCUGGCCGUGCUGGAGAUCGAGGGUAAACCUGCUUCAGAAGCCUCGGAACCGGGUUUACGGGCCGGGGGAUGUUGAGGCCGCUCACUGCCGCGACGGGGUCGACACCAUGCUGCUGCGUGGGAACGAACGCCGCGACGGCAUCUCACGCGCGUGAGACGUGAGGAAGAAGGAAGAAACAAUGAUGAAACACACGAGAAAAAGGGCGACGAAUCAAAACAAUGUUCACAAUCAAAAGUAACGAGCACAAGUUUGGCAGGGAAAAAGGAACGUGAAGUGAUUUGGAUAAUUAGGAGGAUAAUUAGGAGGAUUGUGAGGAUUGAAGGUGGAAGAUUUGUGGUUCGGGAUAAACAGAAGGUAGACGGACACAAAUUCGAACCACACGCGGGUUGAUCCGGGUGGCGAUCCACGGAGGGAAGACGAGACGGUUCAGGACGGACAGGAUAGAACCGCUUUUGUGUACGAGUAAGUUUUACCUGUUAAACAUGAAAAACACAACAGAAACAUGCAAAACUUGUACAACAUGAAGAGAAACAAAACGCGGUGCUAACCUAACCUAAAAUUACAGCUACAACACAAACGUAGAACACAAAUCCGGAUCGGGUUGGACGGAAAACAGGAAACAAACAAAUUGUAAGCACAAUUACACAUACACACAAACACAACAUGUACUAAAUAUUAAUCUAAAAUUGCAGCUUUGAUCUGCCUCA